AUGACUGAGAGCUGCAGCUCCAUAACUUCACCCACAGCAACCAUGACUUUGAUCCGCGUCUUCAUCUGCACACUGGCCCUCUGGACUCAAGGAUCCAGAGGUCAGGUGACUGUGACUCAGACUCCUUCAGUGGAAACUGUUGUUCCAGGAAACACAGUCACCAUCAACUGUAGAUUCAGCACUGCUGUUUAUCAUGACUGUGGGCCAACUGGUGUAUCAUAUGACUGUCUAGCCUGGUACCUUCAGAAACCUGGAGAAGCUCCUAAACUCCUAGUGCACUAUGUGAGUCACCUGUUCUCAGGCACUCCAGCUCGUUUCAGCGGCAGUGGAUCUAAGACUGACUUCACUCUGACCAUCAGUGGAGUCCAGGCUGAAGAUGCAGGAGAUUACUACUGUCAGAGUUACCAUAGUGGUGGAGUGUUCACACAGUGUUAGAGCGCCGUACAAAAACCUCGGUCAGUGAAAGUGCACAGAGAAGCUCUGCUGCAGCUGGGAGCGACUGCAGGUGCUGAGAGGGAGGAUGUGAUACAGCACAAUGACACACAAUGUGGAUGAGAGAAAACACACACACACUAACUCACUAAUGCACACACACACACACACAUCUGUCAGAGGAGUCCACUUUAUUCAUCUGUCAGUACAGUCAACACACACACACACACACACACACACACACACACAAAACAUCAUCAAGUACACAUCACUACAGUGUCCUUUUCUCUCUUUGGUGAUUUUUUUUCCUCACUGUGACACAGGUACGUGUUUUCAUCAGGAGGUGGAUUAUUUCACUCGCUACAUUCCUGAGAAAAAAAGGGUUCCUCACUGGUUCUUUGGCUCAGAGGUUCACCCACAGGAACAAUCAAGAACACUUGAGACAAACAUAUGAGACAUGAGACAAGCCAAGCAUACUCAGCAAAUUCAACUCUGUAAAGAUGCUGUUAUUACUGUAUAUUGUAAGAGGCAUCAACAUGGCCCCGGCCUACCACCAGAUGGAGACAGAGAGCUGCCUCUUCGUAAUUAGUGGCACCCAGCUCCACCUGUGACUGGUCUAUUUAUGGGCUGCUUACAAGUCGCUCAACACACUUGAGUUCUUGAGUUCACCGUGCAUGCGCAUGUUUGUAGCUGUAUAUUGAAACCUGGAGCUGAACUUUAGGCCAUUCCUUUGCGCUGAGUUGACUUCACCAUAUCACCCUAAUCACCGUCUUGAGUCUUUUAUUUCCUGUUUAGUUCUCUGUAGUGAGCAGUCAGUGGUUUCUCCCCUGACAGUCAAGUUUAUUCCUUUAGUUUAUCCUUGUCUUUGUUAUCAUUCUCAGUAUCUCAACUCCUGAUUUAGGAGAGUGCUUUUUCAGCUUGUUACUUUUCUCCAUAACCAGUGUAGAGUGUGUUGGCCUGAGAUUAUUACUUAUUUCCCUUUUUGGAAGUUUCUGUUCCUCCCCAUUAUAUGUUCUGUACUUGGGUUUGAACUCUUGGGUAUUGAUUGUGGUUUGCUCAGUUUACUCAGCUCUUUUGUAUACUGAGGCCUGAGUUUCAAGAUGGCAUGGGGUGAGUCACAACAACAUCCUCUACCAUAAAAGUAGUGUUAUAUUAUAUUCAACUCAUUUACCAUCUUUAGGCAUCUUUCCCCACUUAUGUUUGGGUACAGUGAGAAGGGAAAUAAGUAUCCAGACACUUUUGUUUUUGCUAUUUAAUACAUUUCCAAUACUUACAUCACCUUCAUAUUUACACGAUACUAUGUUUUGACUUUGUACUUAAUAUAAGAACUCAUGAGCUUUUUUUCCCCCUAAAUCAUGUGUUUAAAAAAUUAAAUUGAUGAAGGGGGAAAAAGAAAAACAUUUUCAGACACCACAAAUUAACCACAUUGAUACUUUAUUUAAAGCAGUUAUUGGCAGUUUCAGCUUCAAAACAUCUACAAUAACAAAUAAUUUGCUUUUUGCAGCAUUUCGGCUAUCAUUCUUGCCACAUCGUUUACAAUUCCCCAAUGUUACGAGGUCUCACAAUAUCUAAGUUUUCACAGGGAUUCCAGUCAGGAGAUGAAAGGCCUUCAGCUAUAACAUGAUUUAUGGUUUUCCUCCAAAUAAUAAUUAAAACAAACACAAGAU